rnacentral:rRNA from 1 species
UUGGUUAAGUUAGAAAGGGCGCACGGUGGAUGCCUUGGCACUAGGAGCCGAAGAAGGACGGGACUAACACCGAUAUGCUUUGGGGAGCUGUACGUAAGCGUUGAUCCAGAGAUUUCCGAAUGGGGGAACCCACUAUCUUUAGUCGGAUAGUAUCCUUACGUGAAUACAUAGCGUGAGGAAGGCAGACCCAGGGAACUGAAACAUCUAAGUACCUGGAGGAAGAGAAAGAAAAAUCGAUUUCCUGAGUAGCGGCGAGCGAAACGGAAAGAGCCCAAACCAAGAAGCUUGCUUCUUGGGGUUGUAGGACACUCUAUACGGAGUUACAAAAGAAAGUUAUAAAUGAAGCGGUCUGGAAAGGCCCGCCAAAGACGGUAACAGCCCGGUAGUUGAAAUGGCUUUCCCUCCAGAGUGGAUCCUGAGUACGGCGGAACACGUGAAAUUCCGUCGGAAUCCGGGAGGACCAUCUCCCAAGGCUAAAUACUCCCUAGUGACCGAUAGUGAACCAGUACCGUGAGGGAAAGGUGAAAAGCACCCCGGAAGGGGAGUGAAACAGUUCCUGAAACCGUGUGCCUACAAGUAGUUAGAGCCCGUUAAUGGGUGAUAGCGUGCCUUUUGUAGAAUGAACCGGCGAGUUACGAUUUGUUGCAAGGUUAAGCGGAAAAAGCGGAGCCGUAGCGAAAGCGAGUCUGAAUAGGGCGCAUAAGUAACAGGUCGUAGACCCGAAACCAGGUGAUCUACCCAUGUCCAGGAUGAAGGUAAGGUAAUACUUACUGGAGGUCCGAACCCACGCACGUUGAAAAGUGCGGGGAUGAGGUGUGGGUAGCGGAGAAAUUCCAAUCGAACUUGGAGAUAGCUGGUUCUCUCCGAAAUAGCUUUAGGGCUAGCCUCGAGGUAAAGAGUCAUGGAGGUAGA